UCCCAGACUCCUACGGGAGGCAGCAGUGGGGAAUAUUGCGCAAUGGGCGAAAGCCUGAUGCAGCGACGCCGCGUGAGUGAAGAAGUAUUUCGGUAUGUAAAGCUCUAUCAGCAGGGAAGAAAAUGACGGUACCUGACUAAGAAGCCCCGGCUAACUACGUGCCAGCAGCCGCGGUAAUACGUAGGGGGCAAGCGUUAUCCGGAUUUACUGGGUGUAAAGGGAGCGUAGACGGCAUGGCAAGUCAGAUGUGAAAGCCCGGGGCUCAACCCCGGGACUGCAUUUGAAACUGUCAGGCUGGAGUGCAGGAGAGGUAAGUGGAAUUCCUAGUGUAGCGGUGAAAUGCGUAGAUAUUAGGAGGAACGCCAGUGGCGAAGGCGGCUUACUGGACUGUAACUGACGUUGAGGCUCGAAAGCGUGGGGAGCAAACAGGAUUAGAUACCCCUGUAA
rnacentral:rRNA from 1 species